GUCUAGUCUCAUUCCCUCCUGUCAAAUUCAAAACAUCCUUUUAUCUCACUUUACGUUUUGUAACAGAACAGUGGCAUUUUGAGUCAGAUGGACACCGUGCAUGCAACAUGUAUGUAUUAGGAGCCUAACAACAGCGAUAAAACGGAAACGGCUGGGAAAAAGUUGACGGGUGUAAGGGACUGAGCUGCUGUCACGAUGGACGCCCAAUCACAAGGCCAGCAGCCGCCAGUGCCAGUGUUUCAGCCACAGAAAAUCCAACAGGACAUGGGCUAUAAUAAUUUAGCCAAUUUUAAUAUUGAAAAGAAGAUUGGAAGGGGACAGUUCAGUGAAGUUUAUCGAGCCACAUACAUGCUAGAUAAUACCCCAGUAGCUCUGAAAAAAGUACAGAUAUUCGACUUGAUGGAUGCCAAAGCUCGGCAAGAUUGCAUCAAAGAAAUAGAUCUCCUGAAGCAAUUGAACCACCCCAAUGUAAUUAAAUACCAUGCGUCAUUCAUUGAAGAGAAUGAGCUAAAUAUAGUACUGGAGCUUGCAGACGCCGGGGAUCUUUCACAAAUGAUAAAGCAUUUCAAGAAACAAAGACGGCUGAUUCCUGAGAAGACAGUAUGGAAGUACUUUGUUCAGCUGUGUAGUGCACUAGAGCACAUGCACUCCCGUCGUGUCAUGCACAGAGACAUUAAACCCGCUAACGUCUUCAUCACAGCCACUGGAGUGGUGAAACUGGGUGACCUGGGCUUGGGACGCUUCUUCAGUUCCAAAACCACCGCGGCUCAUUCUCUAGUGGGCACCCCAUAUUACAUGUCUCCCGAGCGAAUACACGAAAACGGAUAUAACUUUAAAUCUGACAUCUGGUCGCUAGGCUGCCUGCUCUAUGAGAUAUUCCAGAGUUGUUGCUGUGUUUCCUUAACUUACUAUCGUGACCUGCAGCUGAAUUGCAUUGCAGUAUUGGGGGUUUUACAUAAAACUCCGGGAUUCCCCCAGUGUACGAGUGCAAAUAUGCAGACGUUAGAUGGCCGCCUUGCAGAGUCCGUUCUAUGGGGACAAAAUGAACCUCUACUCUCUGUGUAAAAAGAUUGAGCAGUGUGACUACCCCCCUCUUCCAUCUGACCAUUACUCUGAAGAGGGCUGAUUAGGAGACGCCGUGCCAUGCAACAGCAGCCAGGCCCCUGCAAGAGAGAGGCGGUUGCCAUGGCGAUCCGACACGGGGGCAUCUUCCUUCCUUCCUCUUGUUUUCCCUUUCCCCCCACUUUUAAUGAUACUGCUGGUUGUCUGGGCUGAGUUUAUUUCUCAGUGAAGCAUCACUUCGCUCAAUCCCAUCCCUGCUCUGCUCUGCUGUGCUUCAGUGUGACUAACGGGGGACUGUGUGUUUGUGUGUACUUUUUUUUUUUAAAUUUUUUUUUUAUGUGUGUGUCACAUGUUUGUUGCGGAGAAUUAAAAAACAUUUGCUUGGCCAGAGGGCUUCUUGCUGAAAGUUGCAUUGCUUCAUGGCUUUCCCUUCUCUGUUUGGCAAGCUCUGAAACAAUUGGUGUUUUACUUUGUCAAUCAUCAUGUUAGUCUUUUUUAGUGCAGUAGCUAAUGAAAUAUUAUGGAUAUGUCAAUGAACUGUUCAAGAAAUAGUCAGCCAGAAUUGAAAAUUCUAUCCUGUAUGACUUGCUUUCUUUUGCGAAACACAAAGGGAGAUGUUUUAAUGAAUAUUGCGUUCCAUCUUUUCAAAACAACUGCAGUGGAUGGGACCUCACUCUAAAGCUUAAAAAGGACCUAAAAGUAUCAUAAAAGUAGUCUAUGUGGCUCCUGCAUCAUAUUCCGAGUGUUCUGAAAACAUACGUUAACACAAAAUUGAAGUAAUUUUACAGUGAAAAUCUUGACCUUGUCCUUUGCGCAUUUAUGAGCGCUGUGAGAGGAGAUUGUUCACAGUGGCUUGCGUGUUUACGCGUGAACAAGAGUUCCCUCGAAUGUUUUAUCUUGUUGAGCAAAACCUGUUUUUGUUGGGUGGACCUUUUGGCCACCUGAGCAGAACUAUAAUAAUAAUGAUAAUGUUUAAAAUAAAUAAAAUGUCUAUUUAUUGUUAAAUAACAAGAGCAUGUUGCCUUGAAGUGUUUCUCAAUUAAGUUUUUUCCAAGUAUGUUUUUAAGUAAAUGUUCUUGUUAUUAAAUGUUAAGUGAAUUAAGAACAUGGCAAUAAAAAACUAAGAAAUAAGUUUUCAAAAGUAUGUUUUUUUCCCCAUUGUAAUGUUGUUUGAUUAAUAGGCUAUUAACUAUCUGAUUUUUUUGUUGCACCUGUUUAUAUUCACAUAAGACAUAACCGACUGUGUAUACAUUGCUUUAAUCCCUAGCAGGAUGGGCAUUAUGAUCAUAAAAUGCAUUUGACCGUUCAUGCACGCAGCCGCAUUACCACAUUUACCAAAAGUGCUCGCUUGCGCCACGUGAUAAAUGCUGUAAUGUGUCCAUUCAUUAAUUAAAGCGAACAAGUUAUAUUUCCACCUUGUUUGCAUUAUUUAUGACAGCUAUAAUAAAAAACAAAAAUCCAUACCAAAAAAAAACAAAAAACUAAUAAUAAUAAAAAAAACAAUGGACAUUUGUAUUUAUAUAUUGAAUUAAUUUAGCUUUGAUUCAAGAAAUCUCUAGGUUUUCCCACCCACUUUUUAGUCUGCAUCUGCACUUAUAUUUUGUUCAGUCUGCGCAGGAGCAAAAUUAGAAAUGCGCGACUGCACACGUGUGCAGCUUAGAUUGAACAUUGGCGAGAACUUGCUUUGUUCAGUACUAAAGCAACUACUUUUAUGGACUGCUUUAAUGACACUUUUAGGUCCUUUUUUAAGCUUUAAAGAGAGACACUAUCUACUGCCAUUGUAAUGAAAAGACAAUAAUGUUUAAAACAUCUGAGAAUUAUGACUGAAUGCACAUUUUUAGUUGAACUAUUUGCUUAAAACUGGAAAUCGUGACAAUUUGUCUUUUAUCUUUUUUUCCAAAGCUGCGAAAACUGGUAGAUAUGUGCAUCAACCCCGACCCAGAGAAAAGACCUGACAUCACCUACGUGUACAACAUCGCCAAACACAUGCACACCCUGACGAUCGCAAACUGAGUCUGCUGUCCACUUCCUCUUGCUCCUACUUUUGAAGACCUUUGUCUGGCCCAUGUUUUUGCCAGCCUUUUCCACAAAUGUCAUUUAACAUGUUUGUUUUGCUCCAUCAAAUUGCAACUUGGCAAUCAACGUGUGAGCGGCAUCUUUCAGUAUAAAAAGAAUUUCGACAUACCGUAAACACAGCGCAAGGCAGCAUACAAAGCCUUUGGUUUAUUAAAAGAACUACAGUAUGUCAACAAUAGAAAUAAAUCAAAUGCAUGAGGUGACCAAGGCGAGAGAAAAAAAUCCUUUAACCUUUUGAAUAUAGCACUCUUAAAAAGAAGGGGGGAAAUCAGCAGGGUUGUAGACUGGUUUGACUUGAUUUUGCUUUUUUCGAUGUUGGUACAAUGCGAUGAUUGCAGGAUGUAUACCUCUGUUUUUUUUUCCUGUCACCACAUUAACACAAAAUGCAAAUCAGAUAUGUUUUUUCACAAACCCAUAACACCCCUUCCUAGAACUUUUUCAUAGCAAAACUUCAUGAGAAGACUAAAAAAAAAAAAAAAAAACCCCAAUAGAAAGAGAACUAAAAUUACCCUUAAAAAGCAAGUUUCUGCAAUUGAAAGUUCAGAGGUUUGUCAUUCUAUAAAAGAGCGUGAGAUCAUAGCAUUAUUUGUUGAAGUUUCCAUGGGUUAAAUAACUAGUCCAUCUCUAAACCUCAGACUUUAGAGUUCAGUGCAUCCCAAUGUGAUGCCUUAGAAAAUAUGCUUUCACUCAAAGUAUUCAGAAUAUAGAUCGUGCAUCCAAAUGCUCAAGGAGUGUUUUAUUUUUAUUAUUAUAAAUGAUGUUGUUGAUGAUGAUGUUUUUUUCUUUCAUUUUCUUACUGUCCCUCCCAUAUCUGAACACAUUUAUUGCAAUGCUUCCUGGGAGUAUCUCUUUAAAGAAAUCCUUGAAAUACUCAAGGUAAAAUACAGACCUUCUUUACAUUCGCCAUUGCACCAAUGCAGUUUGUUUCUGCAAAAUGCAUUAAAUACACUAUAAAGAAAUUAUAGUAUGGUUUACCAUGACUAAUAAAGUGAUAGUUCAUAUUCAGUGGGUAUCAUAUAAAGCAUUCAGGAUGAAGUCUGUUUUAAAAGUCAGAUUCUUCCCAUUUCAGCACAUAGUAUCCGCACCUCGUGGUUGCUACUUGAACUGUAGUAAAUGAUUAAUGCAACGGCCUUGCAUGUAAUGCAGUAACUUAUACAUAUUUGCAUAUCCCUAUGUGCCUUUAGAUUCGUGAGUGCCUUGUUCUGUAUUUAUCUUUGAAGAACAAAUUUGUAACAGAAAGGUAAAAUAAACAUUAGUGCUAAAAACAUGCCUUUCUUCCUGUAAACCAAAUAGUUUGAGUUCAUGAAAUAAGUCACAUUAACAUCAAUGAGCAAUGCUUAAUACCCAAUAAUAGGGUUGGGUAAACAUAUUGAUUUAUUAUUAAAAUCCCAAGAUGUACAUUUUAAUUUGAAUUUAAAGUUUAAUUCAUUUUUGGUUGUGUUGAUUAUUAUAUGUUUUAAAUAAAUGGCAAUUGAACUGCA